rnacentral:rRNA from 1 species
UACGUACCGGACAAACGUUAUUCGGAAUUACUGGGCUUAAAGAGUGCGUAGGCGGCCUAGCAGGUGGGGUGUGAAAGCCCACGGCCCAACCGUGGAAUUGCGCUUCAAACCGCUAGGCUGGAGGGAGACAGGGGUGAGCGGAACUGAUGGUGGAGCGGUGAAAUGCGUAGAUAUCAGGAGGAACACCCGUGGCGAAGGCGACCUUCUAUCUCGGAUCUGACACUGAGGCGCGAAAGCCAGGGGAGCAAACGGG